UGCUGACAAAGUUCUCCAGGGGCUGGAGGUUUUACGGUGGGAACUUUUAUUACUUUUCACAAGAAAGGAAGUCGUGGGACGAGGCCGAGCGGUUUUGUGUGUCUCAGGACUCGCACCUGACCUCUGUCUCCUCCCAGGCGGAACAGGAGUUUCUCUCCAACGAGACCAAAGGACAAAAUCACUGGAUUGGACUCACCGACCAGGAGACAGAGGGCAGCUGGCGCUGGGUGGACGGCACAGAAUACAGAGCAGACGCAAGCAGGGGGUUCUGGGAGGAGAAUCAGCCAGACAACUGGCAUCAGGGGACAGGAGGCAGAGAAGACUGUGUUGAGACCCGCAGAAGGGAGCUGAAGUGGUGGAAUGAUGCCAACUGCUCUCUGCCUUCUAGGUGGAUUUGUAAGCAGGCCCAUGGACAGGCUGGGCUGUGAUAUGCAGGUCUCAGCACCUCAGAAAGCACCUUAAUUUCCAAGCUAUGCAGCAUGUUUUCCAGCCACCUGCCAAUGAGGAGGCCUGUGCACUG